rnacentral:rRNA from 1 species
UACGGGGGGGGGGCAAGCGUUGUUCGGAAUUACUGGGCGUAAAGGGCCAGUAGGCGGCCAACUAAGUCCGACGUGAAAUCCCAAGGCUUAACCUUGGAACUGCGUCGGAUCUGGAUGGCUUGAAUUCGGGAGAGGGAUGCAGAAUUCCAGGUGUAGCGGUGAAAUGCGUAGAUAUCAGGAGGAACACCGGUGGCGAAGGCGGGGUCUCUGGGCCGAA